GGCAGGAUUUCGAAAAAACCAGCAGGAGGUCGGCCCUCGAGGCCUGGAGUUUGACACCCCUGCC
rnacentral:snoRNA from 1 species